rnacentral:rRNA from 1 species
AACGUAGGAGCCAAGCGUUAUCCGAAUUCACUGGGCGUAAAGCGCGUGCAGGCGGACGAGCAAGUUGGAUGUGAAAUCUCCCGGCUCAACUGGGAGAGGCCGUUCAAAACUGCUGGUCUAGAGGACGGUAGAGGAAGGUGGAAUUCCCGGUGUAGUGGUGAAAUGCGUAGAUAUCGGGAGGAACACCAGUGGCGAAGGCGGCCUUCUGGACCGUUCCUGACGCUCAGACGCGAAAGCUAGGGGAGCGAACGGG